GCUUUGCUGACGAGUGGCGGACGGGUGAGUAAUGUCUGGGAAACUGCCUGAUGGAGGGGGAUAACUACUGGAAACGGUGGCUAAUACCGCAUAACGUCGCAAGACCAAAGAGGGGGACCUUCGGGCCUCUUGCCAUCAGAUGUGCCCAGAUGGGAUUAGCUAGUUGGUGAGGUAACGGCUCACCAAGGCGACGAUCCCUAGCUGGUCUGAGAGGAUGACCAGCCACACUGGAACUGAGACACGGUCCAGACUCCUACGGGAGGCAGCAGUGGGGAAUAUUGCACAAUGGGCGCAAGCCUGAUGCAGCCAUGCCGCGUGUAUGAAGAAGGCCUUCGGGUUGUAAAGUACUUUCAGCGGGGAGGAAGGUGUUGUGGUUAAUAACCGCAGCAAUUGACGUUACCCGCAGAAGAAGCACCGGCUAACUCCGUGCCAGCAGCCGCGGUAAUACGGAGGGUGCAAGCGUUAAUCGGAAUUACUGGGCGUAAAGCGCACGCAGGCGGUCUGUCAAGUCGGAUGUGAAAUCCCCGGGCUCAACCUGGGAACUGCAUUCGAAACUGGCAGGCUUGAGUCUUGUAGAGGGGGGUAGAAUUCCAGGUGUAGCGGUGAAAUGCGUAGAGAUCUGGAGGAAUACCGGUGGCGAAGGCGGCCCCCUGGACAAAGACUGACGCUCAGGUGCGAAAGCGUGGGGAGCAAACAGGAUUAGAUACCCUGGUAGUCCACGCCGUAAACGAUGUCUACUUGGAGGUUGUGCCCUUGAGGCGUGGCUUCCGGAGCUAACGCGUUAAGUAGACCGCCUGGGGAGUACGGCCGCAAGGUUAAAACUCAAAUGAAUUGACGGGGGCCCGCACAAGCGGUGGAGCAUGUGGUUUAAUUCGAUGCAACGCGAAGAACCUUACCUGGUCUUGACAUCCACAGAAGAAUCCAGAGAUGGAUUUGUGCCUUCGGGAACUGUGAGACAGGUGCUGCAUGGCUGUCGUCAGCUCGUGUUGUGAAAUGUUGGGUUAAGUCCCGCAACGAGCGCAACCCUUAUCCUUUGUUGCCAGCGGUC
rnacentral:rRNA from 1 species